rnacentral:rRNA from 1 species
UACGUAGGGUGCAAGCGUUGUCCGGAAUUAUUGGGCGUAAAGAGCUCGUAGGCGGUUCGUCACGUCGGCUGUGAAAACCUGAGGCUCAACCUCAGGCCUGCAGUCGAUACGGGCGGACUUGAGUACUGCAGGGGAGGCUGGAAUUCCUGGUGUAGCGGUGAAAUGCGCAGAUAUCAGGAGGAACACCGGUGGCGAAGGCGGGUCUCUGGGCAGUAACUGACGCUGAGGAGCGAAAGCGUGGGGAGCGAACAGG